AUACGGAGGGUCCAAGCGUUAUCCGGAUUCAUUGGGUUUAAAGGGUCCGCAGGCGGGAAAAUAAGUCAGUGGUGAAAGCCUACAGCUCAACUGUAGAACUGCCAUUGAUACUGUUUUUCUUGAGUAUAGAUGAAGUGGGCGGAAUAUAUCAUGUAGCGGUGAAAUGCAUAGAUAUGAUAUAGAACACCGAUUGCGAAGGCAGCUCACUAAACUAUUACUGACGCUCAGGGACGAAAGCGUGGGGAGCGAACAGGAUUAGAUACCCGAGUAGUCC
rnacentral:rRNA from 1 species